rnacentral:rRNA from 1 species
AGAGUUUGAUCAUGGCUCAGAACGAACGCUGGCGGCGUGGAUUAGGCAUGCAAGUCGAACGAUCCCGCAAGGGAUAGUGGCGAAAGGGUGCGUAACACGUGGGCAAUCUGCCCCCGAAACGGGAAUAACUUCGGGAAACCGAAGCUAAUACCUGAUGACACCGAGCUGCCGCAUGGUGGCACGGUGAAAGGCGUCCGCAAGGGUGCCGAUCGGGGAUGAGCCCGCGGCCUAUCAGCUAGUUGGUGAGGUAACGGCCCACCAAGGCGAUGACGGGUAGCCGGCCUGAGAGGGUGGUCGGCCACAUUGGGACUGAGACACUGCCCAGACUCCUACGGGAGGCUGCAGUCGAGGAUCUUCCGCAAUGGGGGAAACCCUGACGGAGCGACGCCGCGUGGAGGAUGAAGGCCUUCGGGUCGUAAACUCCUGUCAGUCUGGAAGAAAAUCUGCAGCAAUGUGGAUUGACCGUACAGGCAGAGGAAGCUCCGGCUAACUCCGUGCCAGCAGCCGCGGUAAUACGGAGGGAGCGAGCGUUGUUCGGAAUCAUUGGGCGUAAAGGGCAUGUAGGCGGCUCUGUAAGUCGGGUGUGAAAUCCCAUCUCUCAAGGGUGGAACGGCAUUCGAAACUGCAGGGCUUGAGUUCGGGGGAAGAGAGCGGAAUUCUCGGUGUAGCGGUGAUAUGCGUAGAUAUCGAGAAGAACACCAGCGGCGUAAGCGGCUCUCUAUCCUGAAACUGACGCCGAGGUGCGAAAGCCAGGGGAGCGAACGGGAUUAGAUACCCCGGUAGUCCUGGCCAUAAACGAUGUGCACUUGGUGUUGGGCCGCGGGGCUCAGUGCCGAAGCUAACGCAUUAAGUGCACCGCCUGGGGAGUACGACCGCAAGGUUGAAACUCAAAUGAAUUGACGG